rnacentral:rRNA from 1 species
UACGUAGGGUGCGAGCGUUACUCGGAAUUACUGGGCGUAAAGCGUGCGCAGGUGGUCUUGUAAGCCAGAUGUGAAAUCCCCGGGCUUAACCUGGGAACUGCGUUUGGGACUGCAAGGCUGGAGUACGGCAGAGGGAGGUGGAAUUCCACGUGUAGCAGUGAAAUGCGUAGAGAUGUGGAGGAACACCGAUGGCGAAGGCAGCCUCCUGGGCUAGUACUGACGCUCAUGCACGAAAGCGUGGGGAGCAAACAGG